UAAGGAAUAUUGGUCAAUGGACGCAAGUCUGAACCAGCCAUGCCGCGUGAAGGAUGAAGGUCCUCUGGAUUGUAAACUUCUUUUAUCUGGGACGAAAACGGGAUUUUUAUCUCAAUUGACGGUACCAGAGGAAUAAGCACCGGCUAACUCCGUGCCAGCAGCCGCGGUAAUACGGAGGGUGCGAGCGUUAUCCGGAUUUACUGGGUUUAAAGGGUGCGUAGGUGGGCUUAUAAGUCAGUGUGAAAUCUCCGAGCUUAACUUGGAAACUGCCGUUGAUACUAUAGGUCUUGAAUUCUCUUGAGGUAAGCGGAAUAUGUCAUGUAGCGGUGAAAUGCUUAGAUAUGACAUAGAACACCAAUUGCGAAGGCAGCUUACUACAUAUAAAUUGACGCUGAGGCACGAAAGCGUGGGGAUCAAACA
rnacentral:rRNA from 1 species